UACUCGAGUGGCGAACGGGUGAGUAACACGUGGGUGAUCUGCCCUGCACUCUGGGAUAAGCCUGGGAAACUGGGUCUAAUACCGGAUAGGACCGCACUCUAGUGUGUGUGGUGGAAAGUUUUUUCGGUGUAGGAUGAGCCCGCGGCCUAUCAGCUUGUUGGUGGGGUAAUGGCCUACCAAGGCGGCGACGGGUAGCCGGACUGAGAGGUUGGUCGGCCACAUUGGGACUGAGAUACGGCCCAG
rnacentral:rRNA from 1 species